rnacentral:rRNA from 1 species
GUGCCAGCCGCCGCGGUAAUACGGAGGGGGUUAGCGUUGUUCGGAAUUACUGGGCGUAAAGCGCGCGUAGGCGGACUAUUAAGUCAGGGGUGAAAUCCCGGGGCUCAACCCCGGAACUGCCUUUGAUACUGGUAGUCUAGAGUUCGAGAGAGGUGAGUGGAACUCCGAGUGUAGAGGUGAAAUUCGUAGAUAUUCGGAAGAACACCAGUGGCGAAGGCGGCUCACUGGCUCGAUACUGACGCUGAGGUGCGAAAGUGUGGGGAGCAAACAGGAUUAGAUACCCGAGUAGUCC